GGGCCCGUAGUCGAGUGGUAAGACGUUACCCUGACACGGUAAAGAUCCCCGGUUCGAUCCCGGGCGGGCCCA
rnacentral:tRNA from 1 species